rnacentral:rRNA from 1 species
CCUACGGGAGGCAGCAGUAAGGAAUAUUGGACAAUGGUCGCAAGACUGAUCCAGCCAUGCCGCGUGCAGGAUGAAUGCCCUAUGGGUUGUAAACUGCUUUUAUACGGGAAUAAACCUGGGUACGUGUACCCAGCUGAAUGUACUGUAAGAAUAAGGGUCGGCUAACUUCGUGCCAGCAGCCGCGGUAAGACGAAGGACCCAAGCGUUAUCCGGAUUCAUUGGGUUUAAAGGGUGCGUAGGCGGGUUUGAUAAGUCAGUGGUGAAAGCCCAACGCUUAACGUUGGAACUGCCAUUGAUACUGUCGAUCUUGAAUGUGUUUGAUGUGGGCGGAAUAUGACAUGUAGCGGUGAAAUGCUUAGAUAUGUCAUAGAACACCGAUUGCGAAGGCAGCUCACAAAGCCACUAUUGACGCUGAGGCACGAAAGCGUGGGGAUCAAACAGGAUUAGAUACCCUGGUAGUCCACGCCGUAAACUUUGAUCACUCGCUGUUGGUCGAUACUACUGUCGAGCGGCGUAACGACGAACGGACGGUUAACGGUUAGUAGUCCGACCCGUCGGGGUAGGGUACGGGUUACCGGCCGACGACGUAGAAACGUACGAAACGGAAAGUUAGGUACGGACGUUGAGGACGUUGGCCGACGGACGACGACGAGGGGAGGGUAGGG